rnacentral:rRNA from 1 species
UACGUAGGGUGCAAGCGUUGUCCGGAAUUAUUGGGCGUAAAGAGCUCGUAGGCGGUUUGUCGCGUCUGCUGUGAAAACCCGAGGCUCAACCUCGGGCCUGCAGUGGGUACGGGCAGACUAGAGUGCGGUAGGGGAGAUUGGAAUUCCUGGUGUAGCGGUGGAAUGCGCAGAUAUCAGGAGGAACACCGGUGGCGAAGGCGUGUCUCUGGGCAGUAACUGACGCUGAGGAGCGAAAGCGUGGGGAGCGAACAGG